UCUAAUCACAUGACUCCUUAGAUGCAAAACCUUUCCUUCCUGGGUUACAGAGAAAUUUGACAAAGAGGAAAGUCACCGGCUUCAGAGUCAAAGAAGAGACUACAAGGAAAAAAUGCAGGCGAUCCCAGGAGCUGGGAAAGAGAAGGAAACAGAGUCUUCUCUAGAGCUUCCAGUAUGAACACAGCCUUGUCAACAAUUUAAUUUUAGCCUGGGUCUCGCCAGAGACCAGAGCUGCAAGCCUUCAUCUUUUGUCUUAAAUACCUCGCACGGUGUACACUUCUUGAGAGAAUCCAGUUUAUAAAUGAUAGUAGAAAAAUACGCAUAGUUGACGUGACUCUGCUGUAGUACUCCAUCAACAAUGAGUUUGAAAAGCAAGAGAUGAAAAUUGAAAAACGCAAAACAAAGAUUUGUAAAUAUUGACGAAACAAAGGACACUUUAGGAAGGAUUCCAAGAACUCCCUGUACUUUCAAUACCUUCACUUUGGAGUUACCUUCAAAGAGGCUAAGAUUGUAGCUGAAAACGGUCCAGCUUCUCCCACACCUUGAGAGACUGCGUUGCUGUAAGUAUUUACUGGAAGAGGCAGACUUGGAGCAGAGGCGGUCUGACUCCUGAGUCUGAAGACGUCAGGACAGGUAAAUGACCUCCAAUGGCUGGGAGGGAAUGUCCCAAUUGAUAGCUGUUACUGCGUCGAUGCCUU